CGUGUAGGCGGCUCGGUAAGUCCGCUGUGAAAGUCGGGGGCUCAACCCUCGGAUGCCGGUGGAUACUGUCGGGCUAGAGUACGGAAGAGGCGAGUGGAAUUCCUGGUGUAGCGGUGAAAUGCGCAGAUAUCAGGAGGAACACCAAUUGCGAAGGCAGCUCGCUGGGACGUUACUGACGCUGAGACGCGAAAGCGUGGGGAGCAAACA
rnacentral:rRNA from 1 species